UUAUUUAUAACUUAUUUAUAACUUAUUCAUAUCUUAUUUACUUUUUAUUUAUUUCUUAUAUAUAUCUUAUAUUUUAUUUCUUUUCAUUUUAUGCUUCUUUUUGUUAGUACACCUUUUUUUUCUUGGCACUAUGUAUGCACAUAUAUAUGUAUAUUAGUUUUAUUUUUUUUUUUUUUUUUUUUUUUUUUUUUUUUUUUUUUUUUUUUUUUUUUUUUACUUUAUUUUCUUCUUUUUAUUUUUAGUUGUCUUCAUCUUCAUCUGUUUCCUCAUUUUCUUCUUCGCUUUCUUCUUCGUCUUCAUUUUCUUCAUCAUCUUCAUUUUCUUCUUCAUUUUCAUUUUCUUCUUCAUUUUCAUUUUCAUUUUCAUUUUCUUCUUCAUUUUCAUUUUCUUCCUCAUUUUCAUUUUCAUUUUCUUCUUCAUUUUCAUUUUCAUCUUUAUUUUCUUCUUUUUCAUCAUCUUCAUUUUCUUCUUCUUCAUCAUCUUCAUUUUCUUCUUUAUCUUCAUUUUCAACUUCGUUCUUAUUUUCAACUUCGUUCUUAUUUUCAACUUCAACUUCUUCAUUUUUAUUCAUGUCCAUUUUAGUCUUGUCCUUUUUAUGCUUUUUAUUUUUAUUUUUAUUUUUAUUUUUUUUUUUUUUUAUCAGUUUUGCCUUGUUCAUCACCCAACUCCUGUCUGGUUCGCUCAAUAGUGUCAUUAUAUAAUUGCUCAGCAGUGUUUAUAUAAUCAAUAUUUUUAGAAAGUUUUACUCCCUUGAUCAUAUGCAAUAUUUUAUCUUCUAAUUGUUUUUUUUAAUACAACACCAUAAUUAUUUGUUGGAUUUUCAGAAAAUGUAUCUAUCCUUGUAACUAUUGAAAUUUUGCUGGAAAGAUAUCUUGACAUUUUUCCUUUUAAUUUCGGUGGUACUUUAGAAAUAUAAGAAGAGUUAUAUAUAAUACCAAACUUUGGUGUUCUUUUAUUACCUUUUAACGAAUUAAAUAAAGCCUUUUCAGCACCAAAUAUUUGAAUACUA
ensembl:lncRNA